CAGUAGCCGCGGUAAUACGUAGGGUGCAAGCGUUAAUCGGAAUUACUGGGCGUAAAGCGUACGCAGGCGGUUAUAUAAGUCAGAUGUGAAAUCCCCGGGCUCAACCUGGGAACUGCAUUUGAGACUGUAUGGCUAGAGUGUGUCAGAGGGGGGUAGAAUUCCACGUGUAGCAGUGAAAUGCGUAGAUAUGUGGAGGAAUACCGAUGGCGAAGGCAGCCCCCUGGGAUAACACUGACGCUCAUGCACGAAAGCGUGGGGAGCAAACAGGAUUAGAUACCCGAGUAGUCCCUGUCUCUUAUAC
rnacentral:rRNA from 1 species